UACGUAGGCGGAAUGGUAAGUCAGUGGUGAAAUCCUACAGCUUAACUGUAGAACUGCCAUUGAUACUGUCAUUCUUGAGUACAUAUGAAGUGGGCGGAAUGUGUCAUGUAGCGGUGAAAUGCAUAGAUAUGACACAGAACACCGAUAGCGAAGGCAGCUCACUAAAUUGUAACUGACGCUCAUGCACGAAAGCGUGGGGAGCAAACAGGAUUAGAUACCCUGGUAGUC
rnacentral:rRNA from 1 species